CCCAUUUUCUUGCUGGAACUAUUGUCUUCAACCUUCCUUGCCAAUGCCACAACUUCUAUGAGUUGUUUCAAGCAGAACUCCUCAAAAUAUUCAGCUACUGCCCGACCCUUCAGAACAAUGUUGGUAUUGUUUGUGGAGCAAUUGUUCAUAAUUAACUGUUAGAAGUCGACUCUUCUUUAUUUUUCUUGGUGAAAGCUUAGAUUCUUAAAAGAAAAAAGAAAAGUAUAUUGUAUUGUAUGCCUUGAUUCUGUCUUCUUACUUCCUGAAAAAUAAUGUGUUUAUUAUUAACGGACUAUAUAUCAUGAUUGAUGUAUCAACUUCGUGACUACAUAUAUUUUCGAGUCUUUAGACAUGGAAAUCCAUAAUUCACAUA